AGUGAACGCUGGCGGUAGGCCUAACACAUGCAAGUCGAACGGCAGCACAGUAAGAGCUUGCUCUUACGGGUGGCGAGUGGCGGACGGGUGAGGAAUACAUCGGAAUCUACUUUUUCGUGGGGGAUAACGUAGGGAAACUUACGCUAAUACCGCAUACGACCUACGGGUGAAAGCAGGGGAUCUUCGGACCUUGCGCGAUUGAAUGAGCCGAUGUCGUAUUAGCUAGUUGGCGGGGUAAAGGCCCACCAAGGCGACGAUCCGUAGCUGGUCUGAGAGGAUGAUCGGCCACACUAGAGCUUGGACACGGACCAGGGUCCUGCGGGAGGCAGCAGUGUGGAAUAUUGGACAAUGGGCGCGAACCUGAUCCAGCCAUACCGCGUGGGUGAAGAAGGCCUUCGGGUUGUGAAGCCCUUUUGUUGGGAAAGAAAAGCAGCAGGUUAAUACCCCGCUGUUCUGACGGUACCCGAAGAAUAAGCACCGGCUAACUUCGUG
rnacentral:rRNA from 1 species